rnacentral:rRNA from 1 species
ACGAACGCUGGCGGCGUGCUUCACCCAUGCCAGUCGAACGGAAAGGCCCUGCUUUUGUGGGGUGCUCGAGUGGCGAACGGGUGAGUAACACGUGAGUAACCUGCCCUUGACUUUGGGAUAACUUCAGGAAACUGGGGCUAAUACCGGAUAGGAGCUCCUGCUGCAUGGUGGGGGUUGGAAAGUUUCGGCGGUUGGGGAUGGACUCGCGGCUUAUCAGCUUGUUGGUGGGGUAGUGGCUUACCAAGGCUUUGACGGGUAGCCGGCCUGAGAGGGUGACCGGCCACAUUGGGACUGAGAUACGGCCCAGACUCCUACGGGAGGCAGCAGUGGGGAAUAUUGCACAAUGGGCGGAAGCCUGAUGCAGCAACGCCGCGUGCGGGAUGACGGCCUUCGGGUUGUAAACCGCUUUCGCCUGUGACCAAGCGUGAGUGACGGUAAUGGGUAAAGAAGCACCGGCUAACUACGUG